UGGGGAAUAUUGCACAAUGGAGGGAACUCUGAUGCAGCGACGCCGCGUGCGUGAUGAAGGAAUUCGUUUCGUAAAACUCUGUUCUAUGGGAAGAAAAGGACUGUACCAUAGGAGAAAGCUCCGGCUAAAUACGUGCCAGCAGCCGCGGUAAUACGUAUGGAGCGAGCGUUGUCCGGAAUUAUUGGGCGUAAAGGGUGCGCAGGCGGCUUUACAAGUUGGAUGUGAAAUAUUGUGGCUCAACCACAAACGUGCAUCCAAAACUGCAAAGCUUGAGUUAAGGAGAGGUAAGUGGAAUUCCUGGUGUAGCGGUGGAAUGCGUAGAUAUCAGGAGGAAUACCGGUGGCGAAGGCGACUUACUGGACUUAAACUGACGCUCAGGCACGAAAGCGUGGGGAGAAAACAGG
rnacentral:rRNA from 1 species